CCUACGGGCGGCUGCAGUGGAGAAUAUUGGACAAUGGGCGCAAGCCUGAUCCAGCCAUACCGCGUGGGUGAAGAAUGCCUUCGGGUUGUAAAGCCCUUUUGUUGGGAAAGAAAUCCAGCUGGCUAAUACUCGGUUGGGAUGACGGUACCCAAAGAAUAAGCACAGGCUAACUUCGUGCCAGACGCCGCGGUAAUCCGCAGGGUGCAAGCGUUACUCGGAAUUACUGGGCGUAAAGCGUGCGUAGGUGGUUGGUUGAGGCCGUUAUGAAAGGCCUGGACUCAACCGGGGAACUGCAGUGGAUACUGGGCGACGAGAGUGUGGUAGAGGGUAGCGGAAUUCCUGGUGUAGCAGUGAAAUGCGUAGAGAUCAGGAGGAACAUCCAUGGCGAAGGCAGCUACCUGGACCAACACUGACACUGAGGCACGAAAGCGUGGGGAGCAAACAGGAUUAGAUACCCUGGUAGUC
rnacentral:rRNA from 1 species